rnacentral:tRNA from 1 species
AAGGUAAUAGCUCAUGGUAGAGAGUGCAUGCUUAACAUGCAUGAGGUCCUGGGUUCAACCCCCAGUACCUCU